rnacentral:rRNA from 1 species
CAAAAACAUCGCCUCUUGCAAACUUAAUAAAUAAGAGGUCCCGCCUGCCCUGUGACUAUUAGUUUAACGGCCGCGGUAUUUUGACCGUGCGAAGGUAGCGCAAUCACUUGUCUUUUAAAUGGAGACCUGUAUGAAUGGCAUAACGAGGGCUUAACUGUCUCCUCUUUCCAGUCAAUGAAAUUGAUCUUCCCGUGCAGAAGCGGGAAUAAUAACAUAAGACGAGAAGACCCUAUGAAGCUUUAGACACCAAGACAGAUCAUGUUAAACACUCCUUAAUAAAGGACUAAACCAAAUGAACCCUGCCCUAAUGUCUUUGGUUGGGGCGACCGCGGGGAAACAAAAAACCCCCACGUGGAAUGGGAGCACCCCUCUCUACAACUAAGAGCCGCAGCUCUAGUUAGCAGAACUUCUGACCAGUAAGAUCCGGCAAUGCCGAUCAACGAACCGAGUUACUCUAGGGAUAACAGCGCAAUCCCCUUUUAGAGCCCAUAUCGACAAGGGGGUUUACGACCUCGAUGUUGGAUCAGGACAUCCUAAUGGUGCAGCCGCUAUUAAGGGUUCGUUUGUUCAACGAUUAAAGUCCUACGUGA